rnacentral:antisense_RNA from 1 species
CGCUGAAUAGCAGGACGGCAAUCCUACUACCCAGCUAACCAAAACGAUCUGAAAAGGAGAUCAUCAUGGCUGU